AACGAACGCUGGCGGCAUGCCUAACACAUGCAAGUCGAACGAGACCUUCGGGUCUAGUGGCGCAUGGGUGCGUAACGCGUGGGAACCUGCCCUUAGGUUCGAAAUAACUCCCCGAAAGGGGUGCUAAUACCGGAUAAUGUCUUCGGACCAAAGAUUUAUCGCCUUUGGAUGGGCCCGCGUUGGAUUAGCUAGUUGGUAGGGUAAAAGCCUACCAAGGCGACGAUCCAUAGCUGGUCUGAGAGGAUGAUCAGCCACACUGGGACUGAGACACGGCCCAGACUCCUACGGGAGGCAGCAGUGGGGAAUAUUGGACAAUGGGCGAAAGCCUGAUCCAGCAAUGCCGCGUGAGUGAUGAAGGCCUUAGGGUUGUAAAGCUCUUUUACCCGGGAUGAUAAUGACAGUACCGGGAGAAUAAGCUCCGGCUAACUCCGUG
rnacentral:rRNA from 1 species